AUUCAGCUGAGACUCUCUUGAGCAAAUUUUCCAAGACUCCUUAAGGGGAAGGACCUGGUCCAAGUUGACUUGGUGUCUCCGUCAUCAAGCACAAUGCCUGGUUCACAAUGGACUCUUCAUGCAUCUCUUUCUACAAGAUGAGAAGGAUCAGAGGGCUGCUGGAGGAAGUAAAGAAGAAAAUAUAAACAGCAGUUAGCAUGAUGCCUGGCACAUGGUGUGCAUUCAGGAUAUAACUGGGGCCUUUGGGAACCAGGCAAUAUUCCAGACACACAUGACAUCAGUAACAUCCAUAUGUCUGUGAUGGGGUAGGAGAGAAGACUACUUUUCAGGUGGGACAUUUUGAUUGGAGAGGGUCUCUGAUUCAGAGAGUGAGGGCUUGUUUCUGAGAGUGUGCACGGAGAUUGAAGGGCAGGGGCUCAUGUGACAGUGUGAAGCAGGAAUUCUGACCGUUGGCCAAACCAAGCCCUGAAACUCAAGUUCUGUUUGGGAGUGAGAGGCAGAAAGCCUUGGAGGCAGCUUCAAUUAGAAGCUAAUUUUACUAAUUAGAAAAUUGGUAUCAGAAGGACGAUUGAACGUGUCCAACGUCACACAGCCAGUAAGGAGAGGGGCCUGGACUGGAGCAGACCUGUCUGAUUCACUCAGACAGGACUGGAGCAGACCCUUGCUUUAUUCACUCAAUAGUUUUUUCCAAAGGCUUUUUAAGAAGAGGACUUUGGAGUUGUAAAGAAUUUAGAUACGUGGAAAUGAGAGAAAGGCCUUCCAGGCAGAGGAAACAGGAUGAACAAAGUCUUGGCAGGAAGCAUGGUUAUGUCCCCUGAAGCCCUGGUCCACAUGAAGCUCUUCCUGCUUUUCUUCAGAGGAAGAUGCAGGAGCUGGUUAAUGGAAUGGAUUUUGCAUUCAGACAUCUCUUGGGGCUGCCUGUAGGUGGAUAUGUUCAUGGAAGACGGUGAAAAAGACAAGAAUAGGAUUUGCUGUAUAGAAUCACUAUAGUCACCAUCACACUGAGUAUCAACAACAUCUCUUGUUAUCCUCACAACUGUGCAAAACAGAUAUCCGACAGAGAGAAAGAGAAUGUGAUUGACUCUUAACUAGAGUCACGCACCACUCUGGAUCAAUCAUCUGAGGCCUGGGAGAAGUGUCAUAACACAGGUACUGUAGCCUUUUGGCAAGGUUUUUUUAUUUUUUUAAUUUUUAUUAUUUAUUUUAUUUUAUUUUAUUUUUGAGACGGAGUUUUACUCUUUCGCCCAGGCUGGAGUGCAGUGGCACAAUCUCAACUCACUGCGACUUCCUCUUCCCAGGUUCAAGUGAUACUCCUACCUCGGCCUCCAGAGUAGCUGGGAUUACAGGCUCGCACCACCACGCCCAGCUGAUUUUUGUAGUUUUAGUAGAGAUGGGGUUUCACCAUGUUGGCCAGGCUGGCCUCAAACUCCAGCAAGGUCAAUAUUUUAAAAACCAUGUAAGGAAGAAGGAAUUGAGGGAGAGUCACUAACUGGGGUCCCAAUGGCAUUAGCUUUUUGGCACUAGACAAGUUCCUAAACCAUAAAGUGGCUGAGUAGGAAGUGGUUUAUCCCACGUACAUACAGUUGUGCACCUUUAGAAUUAUUAACCGGUUAACAUUCCGGAGUGACCCCCAUUCUGGCAAGACUAGGACUAAAGAAACUCUGUUUGCCUUUUGGCUGAUGACAGGGCUCAGCAUGACAGGGCUCAGCAAUACCUCCCCUUACAACAGAAGUAUGAAGCAGAUCUUGAGGAAUCUGAGAAAGAUUAGAAUCUCUCUCCCUUUUUGUUUUAUAGCACAGUAUAUCAUAAUGGCACUGGGCUAUAGUUGAUUCAGUUAGCUGUUAAUUGAACAUCUAUUAUGCUCAAAACACUUUGGGGUCUAUAGGCCAAUCAACAUGGGGACUAUUCUCUAAGAAGCUGUUAUGCAAACUCCACUUGAACAGAGUGCAAUGGUUGUUUAGAAGAUAAGCUCUGACAAAUGAUUUGGGAACAAAAAAAGGCUCCAUGUAGUCAGGAAAAAGAGAUGUCAGUGAAGUUGGGGGGCUGUUUAGGACAUUAGGGAGAGAAAAACACAGUCUCUAGACAGUACGGAAGAGAAGGCUUUCCUUAAAAGAAAUAUCAAAGAGAUUUUAGGUUGUUAACUUUGGUGCACAAUGUAAACUCAUAUUUACCCCAUGGAAUCUUCAGUAAAUAUUACAUUAUUCACUGAUUUAUCAGAGUCAAUUUUUGGGGGGCCCUUUAAGAAGACAGGUUAGGGCAGCACAUAUACAAACUACCCAAGUAGGGGAAAAAUGCGUGGACUCAUUCUCAAGUUGUUUAUAAUAUGUAGGUGAAGGUCAUCACCCUAGGAUGGCGACUUUGAAAUUCCUAGUCAUCUAUCAGUCUGCCAAUCAGUUAAGCAAAGUAUUGAAAUAACACCCCAUGUGACUAUGUGACCAUCAUAGGACAUGAAAGUAUUGACUGCCUUGACUAACUGUUUGAACUCUACACUGUUUUAUUGUGGGGGGGCACAAAAUGAAAUGACACAGAACCCCUGCCCCUUGGGAACCCACAGCCUAUUGGUGAAAACAGACACAUAAACAUGUAAAAAUAUAAGACAUAAAAUGAAUCAAUAUGACACCAUAAUUGAACUUCAGUAAAGAAAUAAUCUUCAACAAACAUUGACACAUUCCAAGGACAGCAGAAACUCUGAACCAAGAGCGCUGAACUCAGAAAGCCCCUUGAUGUGUGAUGAUUGUUGGACAUUUCUGACAGCAUCACUAUUAGCUGUAUUGAUAACACUUGGGAAAGGUCAAGUUUUGCAAAGACUUUCUGCCCACCAAGAAUAGCAAGGAAUCGAUUGAUUCUGAGCACAAAAACAAUGUCAGAAGCUAGAGGGAAAUGCAGUGCGAUUGCUAUUACUGGGAAGCUCCCCUUCUCUCAAAUAAAUGUCCUGGGAAAUCUACAUUCAACUUCCUGUAGUUAGACUGUUGGACUCUUUGAAUACUCUUGGACCUUUAGCUUUUCACUAGCUUGGUCUUUUGUACCUUCAGUCUGAGCUCAUAGGCUAAUAAUUAAGGAUGUCUUCAUUGACUAUUUAAGGUAACAUCCUUCCGCCAUCACUGUGCUAACACCACACUAAUAAUUUAUUUUUUUGCACUUAAUAUGAAGUCAUCUUCAAUAUUUUAAGUUUGCCUCUUUACCUGUGGCUUGUUCCUCAUUCUCUUCUAGAAUAAAAGCUUCAUGAGUGCAAGAACUACGAUUAUCUUGUAGACAGGGUAGAGGCUAGCCUAAACUAGAUUCCUGUGCACCUCUGCGUGAAUUAGAAAAAAACACCCUCUCCAAAAAGGUGGGUUAGAAAAAGUCACAUCUUCUUGGUAGAUGCCGGUUGCAUGGGUUCAUAGCUUUGACGAGUGGAUUUCAACCCCUCGCUUUUCUUCGGCAUGUCGUACAAGAACUUCAGAAAUAUAUGUUGCAGCCCUGCUUGUCUAGUGCUAUUUGGGAUCACCCCUGGCACAUAGUGAAUGAAUCAAUAUGAUACCGUAAUUGAAUAAGAGGAGACCAUAAUACCCUCUUAGACCUACCAAACAAUCCAUGUUAUACAGCAAUAUCUUAUAUAGGAACAACAACAAUAAAAAACCUUGGAAGGCCUUUGAGACCAACCUUGAUUCCCUUACAGACCAGCUAGAGCCAGUCAGAGGCUCACAGCUGGAACACAACAGCACUUCAAUAGCACAGUAACCAAUUGAGGCUGACUUCUGUGACCUUCUGAUAUUUCAUAAAUGCACCAGCCGCAGGAACUCUUAUUUAAGUACUCCUGUUAGCCUUGUUCUUGCCUACUGACUUUACAGCCCCCUGUACAUGGCUGGGCUAGUGGGACGGAAGCCUUCCAACUGAGCAUCCCUUGCUAGAGGUCCUGUGAGUCCUGACAAAGCCUGUCUCCUGCCUUUUAAGAAUAGCAGAGUCAAAUAAAAUCUUGCCAGUGACUUUGGCCCACGCGUGGAGUGACGCCGACGGAUCUGCCUGAAAUGGAGACAUUAAAGAAUUUUGCAAAGCAAAGAAAAACCCACGGUUGCUUCCAUAAAUCAAAACUUCAAAUAAGAACGCAGCUUUAGCAAUUCAUUCCCUGCAGAAUUAACCUUUGUUUCCCGGCAGGCUGCUUCUAAGAAUAUGCUUCGUGCCUAAAAGGAAAUAGGAGAGCCCUUACAGAAUGGGUUUUAUGUUUACCACGCAGGAGGAAAAGCUGAAAUGAAAGCAAAGUUGAAAAGGAAGCUUGUUUCUAACUAAUCCAGCCUCUAGAUAGAAGUCCUAAGAUGCAAAAGCAAUUAUCAUAUACAUGAAUCUGUGUCCCUACUCACAGAUGCACAAAUGCCACUUCUUCGUCUGCUGUUUCUGUAACUUACUCCUGGCAAGGAUAACAGAGUUCUGGGGACUGGAAAAGGACUCAUCAUCCAGAUUCUUCUCUUCUUUAGGAUUCAACUUGGGACCUCCUCCUGGAAGUCCUCCUGGAUUUGAGAAGUACCCUUCCCCUGUGUCCCCAUAAAACCCUAUGAAUUUCUUUAUUAUUGAAUUUGUCACAUUGUAUUACAGUUAUCUGUUCAUGCGUCAAAGACAAGGGUAUUUUAUUUGACUUUAAAAAAAUCAUUAAAGUCAAAUACUUAGCACAUUGUCUGGAAUAGAAUGACAUCUCAGUAAGGUCUUAAUGAAAUAGUCAAUGGACCAUUCUGUUAACAGUUGCCUAUCGAACUCAUACUAUUUGUUGUCACUCUGCCACACACUAAGACUGUAUACAAGAAAUAUAACAUGUAAUAACAGUGGUUGCUAUCAUUUUUGAAUAUCUAUUCCAAGUCAGGUACUCUGCUAAUUGCUUUACAAAUGGGUUUCACCUGAAUACGUCGCAGCAGCUAUGACCUUCAUUUCAUAGAUCAGACUGAGACCAUAGUAGAUGAACUGACUUUUCCCCAAAGACACACAACAGGCAAGAGGAAGAACCGGGAGUUGAACCAGUCUCCAAAUCCUCUGAUCUAUUACCCUAUAGGAGUUUGCUUCUCUGACCUUAAGAAACAUGUGAUAUAAUGGGGGUUCGGUGGAGUGGUGUCAAAAGUACAAUGCAUUUGAAAUGCUGGAAAACCAUUAAGUGUCAGACGGUAGGGUGGUGCCUUCAUGGAGAAACAGGGAUCAACGAAGCAGGAGCUCCCUGUGUACUGGAUUAAUCAAGGAAAGAUUCAUGGCGGGUCCAGAACUUGAACUAAAAUCAGAAUGGAAUUUAAAUAUAUGGAGAAGAGAAGGUAAAGUAGAGAAACUUACGUUCAUUGAGUACAGAACAUUGGUCUUGGUAAAGAGAUUGGGUUUUGAAACUGGCAGAAUCUGGCACUGAAUUCAAACCUGCUAUUUUAAAGCUGUGAGAACUUUUGCAAUUUGCCCAACCUUUUGAGCCUCUCCACCACCAUAUGUAAAUAGGCAUAGUAAGACCUCUGGUAUCAGUUAAGAAUGCUUUCAUAUGCAAGUAAAAGACAUGUUGAAAAAUGGUGUAAAACAUAAGGACACAUAUGCAUCUCAGGGUUUGUUGAGUAAUUCAGUGGUGUUAUCAAGAACUCAGGCUCUUUUUGUACAUGCGGUCUCCCAUGCCCAGCUGUUAACUCCUCAUCCUUAUGUGUGAAAGAUGGCUGCCACAGAACCAGCCAUUGCAAUCACAUUCCAAGGCAGAAAGGAGGAGUAUGGGAAGUGCUAACACAACUUGUCCUUUUUAUCAGGAAACUAACUAACGCCUUCCCAAACACUCUUCUUUAGGAAUUUCUCCCCUUUUAUUUCAUGGAACAAAGCUGGGUCUCAUGUUGACUCUGAGCUGCAGGGAGAAUCUAUCUAUCUGCAGCUAUCUAGCCUGACUUUAUUCUCUCCAUAGUAGGAGGUAAGUAGAGGAAAACAGGUUGAGAAUGGCUUUUGGGAUAGCCAAACAAGAGCACUGGCCGUGCCUACCUCACUGGCAGUUUAAGGAUCCAGGAAAAAGAUGCAAGUAAAAGAGCAGUGAAGCACUCAUAGAAAGCAGCCAGGACAUGCUGCUCUGGGGAAACGUUGGACAAAACCAUGAUUAGGCUGGGUGCGGUGGCUCACGACUGUAAUCCCAACACUUUUGGAGGCCAAG
rnacentral:lncRNA from 1 species